ACGAUUCAUUUAUUUUUAUUUUUUCUCAUAUCCCAAGUCGUGGGGAGUAAUUCAAUGAUCUUCAAUAUUUUUCUUUGGUCGUUACUUUCAUCUUGAACUCUUCUUCUUCUGCCUUAUGCCUCUGUUGCAGCACUGGUUAGGAAAUUUCGUGGAAUCGAUUUCUGGUGUCGAGGAUUAACAUCAGGGUAUAAAUGUGGGCAUUGUAUUCAUGUUCUGUUAGUUGUUUCAGUGCUUAUUUCUCUUCUGGAGGGAGACUCUCUAGAGGAGUGGAGUAUAAGAUGCUUGUAUACUAAAAUGCUUGUUUGAUCUUCGUAUUAGAGCUUCCUAUCCCAGGAGACUCUAGAUGGUGAUGACACAAAUGGAGAGCAAACUCAAGAGUGUUGAAUGACAACAUCAACUAGAUGGGAUGCAAGCAUCCAUUCAAGAAGUUAUCAAUCGGUUGGCAAAUGGAGGAGAUGACAAACUAAUUGAAGGAGUGCUUAAAAGUACAUGAGGUGGAAUGUAGGAGGAAGACAACAAUGGGGAUGGUCAGGAUUCAGAACAUGGCUGUUUGACUUGAUGACCAAGAAAAAACGAAGAAGUGAGGAACAGGUGAAGUGGGUUGAGGUUCCAUAUUCCGUGGGUGGAGAGCUACUUCAAAAUAAACUGUAUUUUGGAGGUGGUGAAGGAUGACACAAAUGGAGAGCAAACUCAAGAGUGUUGAGCGACAACAUCAACUAGAUGGGAUGCAAACAUCCAUUCAAGAAGUUAUCUAUCGGUUGGCAAAUGGAGGAGAUGACAAACUGAUUAAAGGUGUGCUUAAAAGUAGACGAGGUGGAAUGUAGGAGGAAGAAAGCAAUGGGGAUGGUAAGAACUCAGAACAUGGCUGUUUGACUUGAUGAUCAAGAAAAAACGAAGUGAGGAACAAGUGAAGUGGGUUGAGGUUCCACAUUCAAUGGGUGGAGUGCUACUUCAAAAUAAACUGUAUUUUGGAGGCAGUGAAGGUUGACGCUACAGUGGUAUGUGUAUGUUUGGAAGGGGGGGGGGGGUUUAAGUUGGUUCCAAUGGUGGUAACCAAGGGUAGCUGUGGUGACUAGGCUGAUUCUUUGAUAUGCUGUGUUGGGCUAAUUUCAGUUAUCUUCGUCGGGGAUCCUUAUGAGAACUUAAUGGGCCUGGGAUAGAGGGGGCUAGUCGUGGAGUACAGGUAGCAAUUUGAGCUUUUGUUUGCUCUAUUGUUCUUCACAUGAACAGUUCACGAGAAGGACAUUUAUGAAUGGGUUGAAAAAGGAAAUUAAAGCUGAAGUUAAUGAUGGGUGCAGGAGACAAACACACUAAUGAUAUUAGCAUAGAAGAUAGAGGAUCAAAAUUGGACCUUAGGUCAUUCAAUAAGGAGUUCGGCAAAGAGAGUUGGGCUUACUCUCAACUCGGCAUUAAGUGGGAGGUUUACUGGACCCUAAGACAAUGCUUCUCUUGUGAUGAGGUAUUCUCUUGGCUAUGUUUGUCUUAACAAGCAUCUCCAUGUGAUUUUGUUUGGAGAAACUGAGGAAAUGGAUGAGCGGGAUAGGAAGGAGAUCAAGUAACUGAAGAAGUAAAUUUACAGUUAAAUGCAAGUAGUAUUGCAUGUAUGACAUGAAAAAUUUCCUUAAAAUUAUGGGGAACCAUUACUGUAAAGAAGUCAUAAUAAUGGUAGAUUUUGGAGCUUCCCAUAGUUUUUUGUCCUUGAUAUUGGUGGAGGAGUUGAAUAUUCUCACCAAGACUACCAAGGGGAAUUUUCUAUACGUGGGUAAUGUGGUCAGUGAUUGGGGAGUCAAGGAGUGUGCUGGGGAGUAAAAUUGUGGUUACCAAACCUUGAGAUUGUUUUUUUUGGUGUACAAUGGUCGCAUUGAGGUUAAAACUUAUGAUCUCAAGCAUACUACCCAAAUCUUUCACCGUUAGGUCGACCCUUGUUCAAAAUCAAACCUUAAGAUUGUUUAGGAUUUCUGUUUAUUGGAUUUGGUGGGAGUAGAUGUGAUUUUGGGGUAUGAAUGGCUCUAGAGUUUUGGCAAGUUCAUUGCUGCUUUAAAACACUAUUUGAUUGAAAUAAUACAAAGAUGGGAAGGUCAUAGAUAUUAAGGGGGUACAACUUUGUCUUGUAUGGUAAUGUUUUUAAAAGCCAUUAGAAAAGAAUUGACGAUUGAGGGGAGCUUAUUAUGUGGAGUUGGGGAUGAUGAACAUGUAUGGAAGCACAUACUACGAUUCCACAGUUUGAGGGUGAUUUUAAUGAGGAGACUUAUUUGCCACCUAAUAAUAAUAUAGAAUGUGACCAUGUCAUUAUAUUAUAGGAAGGACCUCAAAUCCCUAAUAUUUGUCAAUGCCUCAAGGAAGAGAUUGAAAACUUUUUCGUGAUAUGCUAGCAUAUGGUUUGAUUAGGCCUAGCACAAGCCCUUCAAGUCUACUCAUUUUAAUCAAGAAAAAAGAUGAUAGUUGGCAUAGGGCUCUCAAUAACAUCACCAUCCCUAAUAAAUUUCCUAUUUAUAGAGGAGUUUUUGGAUGAUUGAUGUUGCUAUUUUCUAAAAACUUGAC